rnacentral:rRNA from 1 species
CUUAGUGGCGGACGGGUGAGUAACGCGUGGGUAACCUGCCUCAUACAGGGGGAUAACAGUUAGAAAUGACUGCUAAUACCGCAUAAGACCACGGUACCGCAUGGUACAGUGGUAAAAACUCCGGUGGUAUGAGAUGGACCCGCGUCUGAUUAGGUAGUUGGUGGGGUAACGGCCUACCAAGCCGACGAUCAGUAGCCGACCUGAGAGGGUGACCGGCCACAUUGGGACUGAGACACGGCCCAG